rnacentral:tRNA from 1 species
GGUUGUGGCUCAGACGAAGAACACUUGCCUAGCAUGCAUGAGGCACUGGGUUCGAUCCUCAGCACCA